rnacentral:rRNA from 1 species
UACGGAGGGUGCGAGCGUUAAUCGGAAUUACUGGGCGUAAAGCGCACGUAGGCGGUCUGGUAAGUCGGAUGUGAAAGCCCCGGGCUUAACCUGGGAAUUGCAUUCGAUACUGCCUGACUGGAGUAUGGGAGAGGGAAGCGGAAUUUCCGGUGUAGCGGUGAAAUGCGUAGAUAUCGGAAGGAACAUCAAUGGCGAAGGCAGCUUCCUGGCCCAAUACUGACGCUGAGGUGCGAAAGCGUGGGGAUCAAAC